rnacentral:rRNA from 1 species
AUUGAACGCUGGCGGCAGGCCUAACACAUGCAAGUCGAGCGAGCGGCGGACGGGGGAGUAAUGUCUGGGAAACUGCCUGAUGGAGGGGGAUAACUACUGGAAACGGUAGCUAAUACCGCAUACCAUAAGAUGUGCCAAGAUGGGAUUAGCUAGUAGGUGGGGUAACGGCGAACCUAGGCGACGAACCCUAGCUGGUCUGAGAGGAUGACCAGCCACACUGUAACUGACACACGGUCCAGACUCCUCCGGGAGGCAGCAGGGGGGGAUAUUGCACAAUGGGCGCAAGCCUGAUGCAGCCAUGCCGCGUGUGUGAAGAAGGCCUUCGGGUUGUAAAGCACUUUCAGCGGGGAGGCGUUACCCGCAGAAGAAGCACCGGCUAACGCCGUGCCAGCAGCCGCGGUAAUAA